rnacentral:rRNA from 1 species
CAGCAGCCGCGGUAAUACGUAGGUCCCGAGCGUUGUCCGGAUUUAUUGGGCGUAAAGGGAGCGCAGGCGGUCAGGAAAGUCUGGAGUAAAAGGCUAUGGCUCAACCAUAGUGUGCUCUGGAAACUGUCUGACUUGAGUGCAGAAGGGGAGAGUGGAAUUCCAUGUGUAGCGGUGAAAUGCGUAGAUAUAUGGAGGAACACCAGUGGCGAAAGCGGCUCUCUGGUCUGUCACUGACGCUGAGGCUCGAAAGCGUGGGUAGCGAACAGGAUUAGAUACCCCUGUAGUCCCUGUCUCUUAUACC